GGCUAUAGUCUUCGAUUUGGUUUUGAGUACUGAAAAAUUUGGGUCACCGGGGUUUCCUCUUUUUUCUUUUAUUUAAUAUAAAUUGGGGGUUAAUUGACGAAAUUACUUGGAUUUGAAGUACAAUAAUUGUUGGAUUUUGGCUAAACAUUCAAAUUUAGGCGGUCUAUUUCCUAGUAUCUAUCGAACCAGUGAGAAUUUUGAGUAAUCGUUGGGUUCUCUCCCUGUUCGUGCAGGUUCUCGAGCUGGCCGGGAACGCGGCUCGUGACAACAAGAAGACCCGCAUCGUUCCGCGCCACAUCCAGCUCGCCGUCCGCAACGACGAGGAGCUCUCCCGCCUGCUGGGCACGGUGACCAUCGCUAGCGGCGGUGUCAUGCCCAACAUCCAUAACCUGCUGCUCCCCAAGAAGUCCGGCGGCGGUAGCGCCAAGGCUGCUGCUGGUGAUGAGGACUAGAUCCCUGACCACGCCUUUCUUCCGGUGGUGGCACUUCCUGUGGGUGCGGCCGUAUCAACUUGUGCUUGUGUAGUAGUACGUUCUAGACUUGCCUUAGGUGUUGUGUUGGGGGAUGUGUUCCUGUGUACCGCUGCUAAACUAGGUUACUCUUGUGCUUGCUAAGGAUUAGUUCUGUAUUUGUUGCUAUAAACGGUGCAUCCUUUGGAUGACUGGUUGAUCAAACCUGGUAUUCCAAUUUACAGUUUGUGUUGGAUGGGUUCAAAUUUUUGGUCAGUCCAGUUGAAAAUUCUGAAAUGUUGUGCUGUGCAGUUUUGAAAUUCAUUUCUGAGAUUGCCAUCGGAUCAUUGGAAGGAUAUGGUGACCUCUGCUAUGUGGAUUUGAUGUAUCAACUAUUGGUGAUUGUGCAUGUG
rnacentral:lncRNA from 1 species